CCUACGGGAGGCAGCAGUAGGGAAUCUUAGACAAUGGGGGCAACCCUGAUCUAGCCAUGCCGCGUGUGUGAUGAAGGCCCUAGGGUCGUAAAGCACUUUCGCCAGAGAUGAUAAUGACAGUAUCUGGUAAAGAAACCCCGGCUAACUCCGUGCCAGCAGCCGCGGUAAUACGGAGGGGGUUAGCGUUGUUCGGAAUUACUGGGCGUAAAGCGUACGUAGGCGGAUUAGUCAGUCAGAGGUGAAAUCCCAGGGCUCAACCCUGGAACUGCCUUUGAUACUGCUAGUCUUGAGUUCGAGAGAGGUGAGUGGAAUUCCAAGUGUAGAGGUGAAAUUCGUAGAUAUUUGGAGGAACACCAGUGGCGAAGGCGGCUCACUGGCUCGAUACUGACGCUGAGGUACGAAAGUGUGGGGAGCAAACAGGAUUAGAUACCCUGGUAGUCCACACCGUAAACGAUGAAUGCCAGUCGUCGGGCAGUAUACUGUUCGGUGACACACCUAACGGAUUAAGCAUUCCGCCUGGGGAGUA
rnacentral:rRNA from 1 species